rnacentral:ncRNA from 1 species
UGCUCGUUGCUGAGAUGAUUCAUGAUAACUCGACGGAUCGCACGGCCAUCGUGCCGGUGACGCAUCAUUCAAAUUUCUAUCGUCCUAUUAGCUUUCGAUGGUAGGAUAGUGGCCUACCAUGAUGGUGACGGGUGACAGAGAAUUAGGGUUCGAUUUCGGAGAGGGAGAGUGAGAAACGGCUAAUACAUCUAAAGAAGGCAGCA